rnacentral:rRNA from 1 species
GACGAACGCUGGCGGCGUGCCUAAUACAUGCAAGUAGAACGCUGAAGGAAGGAGCUCGCUCUUUCUGGAUGAGUUGCGAACGGGUGAGUAACGCGUAGGUAACCUGCCUGGUAGCGGGGGAUAACUAUUGGAAACGAUAGCUAAUACCGCAUAAAAUUGAUUAUUGCAUGAUAGUCAAUUAAAAGGUGCAACUGCACCACUACCAGAUGGACCUGCGUUGUAUUAGCUAGUUGGUGGGGUAACGGCUCACCAAGGCGACGAUACAUAGCCGACCUGAGAGGGUGAUCGGCCACACUGGGACUGAGACACGGCCCAGACUCCUACGGGAGGCAGCAGUAGGGAAUCUUCGGCAAUGGACGGAAGUCUGACCGAGCAACGCCGCGUGAGUGAAGAAGGUUUUCGGAUCGUAAAGCUCUGUUGUAAGAGAAGAACGAGUGUGAGAGUGGAAAGUUCACACUGUGACGGUAUCUUACCAGAAAGGGACGGCUAACUACGUG